ACUUAUGUAGUUUACAGAUGUGAAAAAAUGGAAUUUUGUAAUUGUUACCAGAAGUAUAAAAUAUACAAAACAAUCAAAAGCAUUGCAUAGAUUUGACAUAAGUAUAAUAACUAAACAUGAUCAAAACUUCCUCAUAUCUGUCAUUCCCUUUUAACAAGGCUAUCUUUUCUUAUCUUACAUUAUAAUAUGGCUUAAAGUUUUGUACUGUAUCUGAUUUGUUACAUGAUAAAUUAUAUAAUUGAGAACAUCUGAAAUCCCUCACAAGUAAAGUUUAACUUUCACUUUUGUUUCUGCGGAAAGGUUUCCUCUAAUGUGUCUGCAGCAGACUGGCUGCUGUGAGGAGGUGUGAGCAGUUUCUGAAGGAAGAGUAUAAAUAACGGAUGAAGAUCCACUUCACAUAAACUGCACUACGCUGUUCUGAACCUUAAACAAAUCAUCAGCAUGAUCUUAUCCGAGGGGAGUGAUGAAGGGGAUGACGACGACGAUGAUGAAGAAGAUGAUGGAGGUGCUGGAGUAAGUGUCUGCUGCCAAGGGUAAACAACUGCUCCAGACCUUGAUGCAGCCAGUGUUGAGAAAGACCCAAUAGCACGCUGGAUCAAACGAACUGUGUGCAAUUGCUGAUACAAGCCAGCAGCAGCCAAAGCAAUCACACAGCUUCAGUUGUGACAAAUGUCACAACCCAAGUAUCUCCCACGCCAUGAGUGUCCAUGGCAAACUUGACACGUAGACCUUGACUCCUCCAUGGAGAACGAUGGAUCUCGCAACUUUCCCGCUGUGCAGUGGCAGCACCAUCGCUUUUCUUCAGAACGGCUCUGCUUUCCUGUCUGUUUGUGCAACCCUGAAGAAACCGUGGAGAGAAGAACGAAAUGUUCAUGGAGAGGUGAUCCCUGAUGAGAGCUGCUGGUCCAGAGGCUGGAAGAUGUGAGGCAGUUUUUUCUGUGAUCACAAUCGUCCUCAAUCACCAUUGUGCCAUCGAGCAACGCACAUGACUCCAACGCAGGACUGACUGUUUCUGCAAAAGGUCUACAGUAGUCAACUAUCCAUUAAAAUACAAACAGAGAAUGGGCUGGAUGGGCAUUUUGUAGAUGUACUAAUGGAUGCAUGUUGCUCACAUAUUUUGGGAGGUCAUGCCCUUUUGAAGCCCAAGUGUAUUUGUUGUAAAGAUAUAUUCAGACUAUGGCUGCUUGGUCCAAAUAGCUCUUCAGUAAAACUAGCAGAAGGUUUCUGGAGCAGCGGAUCAGGGUUAGAGGUAAAAGCCCACUGUUUUUUUUAUUUUUAUUUAUUUGUUUUUUUUGAUGUUCUUUUACCUCAUUUUGAUGCCACGUCAACGGCGCUCAGCCAUAGAGAGCGUGAUCAGAGCGAGAUGACAUGUUCACCAGAAUAGGGUUCACAGGCACAGGUUCUGCAGGUUGUGCUGACUUGGUUGAAUCCACUGGUUCAGUUAUCUUACUAACAAUACACAAUAUGACACACUGCUGAAUUUCACGCACAGGUGUUAUCGCAGUGCUGUUGAACAAAAGUUACACAACAUAGGUAACGAACCUGUAAUGAGACAUGAUCUCAUACAGAACAAGGUCCUUGUCAAAGGACUAAGAUCUAGCCAGAAAUGAAGCCCAAUAGAUGCGACACAACAUCAAAGGACAUCAUAUCCUAUUGAGCUCUCGUAGUUUUCUUGGUUAUGUGGCGAGGGGAUUGUUAGCGAGUGAUCUGUUUAGUUUUACAAUGAUGUUCUUAGAAAUGUCAUGAAUGCAGAUGGAUUUCUGUGCUUCGUCUGCCUAAAUGUAUUGCUUUCUAAUGAGCUACACGAUAAACUCCCCAAUUAUAUGUUGUGAAAUAAACAAAACAAACAAAAAACUAAACAAAACAAAACAAAACAAACAAAAAAACCUUUGUGUAUGUGUGUGUGUUUAUGUGAUGGAGCCAAACUCUACUUUAAUAUUUUAAAGGUAGGUUUUGGACAUGCAUUUUUAAAACUCUGGGAUAAAUUAGAGCAUUCUGGGGAAUUACGGUUCAUAAAAUAUAAGAUUAUUUCGAUGAUAUUUAGUAUUAUUUACAUACUAUUAUAUCAUCUAUCAAUAUACUGAAUUAGCUUUUAUUUUUAUAUUUUCAGUUUUCAUUAUAAUUUUAGUUGAGGUUUUAGUGAUGAUUUCUAUGGCUUUAAUUUUAUUUCAGUUUUAGUUAACAAUAACAACACUGAUUAAUUCAUAAACGUAAUGAAAAAUACUGUAUAUAAAUUAUAUUGCAAUUAAUAAAUUGUAGUAAAUAAUUCUAUAAAUUAAACAGAAGUUCUAUGACUGACAUUUUAUUUCAUUGAUUGUAUGAAAUGUAUUACCAGUUAUAUGAAUUUCUUUGCAUUUUAUUUCAUCUCAGUUCCUCAUAAAUUCAAUUAAAAGGCUCUCUCAAUUCAAUUGUUAAUGUCACAACCCUGACUUAUUUAAGACCAUUUAAGAUUUUUUUUAUAAUUUCAUUCAAUUAUUUAAAAUGUGCCUGAGAAACAGUUGUUUAUGCGUAUAUUGUAUGUACAGACUGCUGGACUCAGAAUAUGUUAUAUAAUGAAUCAUGAAUGUCUAUCCACUAAUGUGUAUGAGACAUCAGAAAAAAGUAUACUAGUUAAUGUAGUGAACUUAUGUUAACAAAUAAAAACCUUAUUGUAAUGUUA